UCUCUCUCUCUCUCUCUCUCUCUCUCUGUAACUCCUAGUUGUGCAGCAAUAAAACUGCUAACACAUUUGCAAAGCUAAGGAGUCUCAUGUGUGUGUGUGUGUGUGUGAGAGAGAGAGAGAGAGAGAGAGAGAGA